AACGUACGCUGGCGGCACGCCUAACACAUGCAAGUCGAACGAAGUAGCAAUACUUAGUGGCAGACGGGUGAGUAACAUGUAGGUAUCUGCCCUUUGGCCUGGAAUAACACGAGGAAACUUGUGCUAAUACCGGAUAAGUCUUUACGGAGAAAGCUUUAUGCACCAUUGGAUGAGCCUGCACUUGAUUAGUUUGUUGGUGGGGUAAUGGCCUACCAAGACUGUGAUCAAUAGCUGAUUUGAGAGGAUGAUCAGCCACAUUGGGACUGAGACACGGCCCAAACUCCUACGGGAGGCAGCAGUGGGGAAUCUUGCACAAUGGAGGAAACUCUGAUGCAGCGAUGCCGCGUGAGUGAAGAAGGCCUUUGGGUUGUAAAGCUCCUUCGUCGGGGAAGAAAAUGACUGUACCCGAAUAAGAAGGUCCGGCUAACUUCGUGCCAGCAGCCGCGGUAAUACGAAGGGACCUAGCGUAGUUCGGAAUUACUGGGCUUAAAGAGUUCGUAGGUGGUUGAAAAAGUUAGUGGUGAAAUCCCAGAGCUUAACUCUGGAACUGCCAUUAAAACUUUUCAGCUAGAGUAUGAUAGAGGAAAGCAGAAUUUCUAGUGUAGAGGUGAAAUUCGUAGAUAUUAGAAAGAAUACCAAUUGCGAAGGCAGCUUUCUGGAUCAUUACUGACACUGAGGAACGAAAGCAUGGGUAGCGAAGAGGAUUAGAUACCCUCGUAGUCCAUGCCGUAAACGAUGUGUGUUAGACGUUGGAAAUUUAUUUUCAGUGUCGCAGGGAAACCGAUAAACACACCGCCUGGGGAGUACGACCGCAAGGUUAAAACUCAAAUGAAUUGACGGGGACCCGCACAAGUAGUGGAGCAUGUGGUUUAAUUCGAAGAUACGCGCAGAACCUUACCAACACUUGACAUGUUCGUCGCGACUCUAAGAGAUUAGAGUUUUCGGUUCGGCCGGACGAAACACAGGUGCUGCAUGGCUGUCGUCAGCUCGUGU
rnacentral:rRNA from 1 species